rnacentral:rRNA from 1 species
ACGUAGGACACGAGCGUUAUCCGGAUUUACUGGGCGUAAAGCGCCUGUAGGUGGCCGAAUAAGUCGGCUGUGAAAGCCCUGGGCUUAACCCGGGGAGGCCAAGGGAUACUGUUCGACUUGAGGGUGGCAGAGGGGAGAGGAAUUCCCGGGGUAGGGGUGAAAUGCGCUAAUACCUGGGGGAACACCUGUGGCGAAGGCGUCUCCCCGGGUCGGACCCGACAGUGAGAAACGAAAGCUAGGGGAGCAAACAG